rnacentral:rRNA from 1 species
GGGGGCCCGCAAGCGGUGGAGCAUGUGGUUCAAUUCGACGCAACGCGAAGAACCUUACCUGGGCUCGAAAUGCAGGAGACCGGGGUAGAAAUAUCCUUUCCCCGCAAGGGGCUGCUGUAUAGGUGCUGCAUGGCUGUCGUCAGCUCGUGUCGUGAGAUGUUGGGUUAAGUCCCGCAACGAGCGCAACCCUCAUCCCUAGUUGCCACCGGGUAAUGCCGAGCACUCUAGUGAAACCGCCCCGGAUAACGGGGAGGAAGGUGGGGAUGACGUCAAGUCCUCAUGGCCUUUAUGUCCAGGGCUACACACGUGCUACAAUGGUCGGUACAAACCGUCGCAAAGCCACAAGGUGGAGCUAAUCGGAAAAAGCCGGCCUCAGUUCGGAUUGGAGUCUGCAACUCGACUCCAUGAAGCUGGAAUCGCUAGUAAUCGCAUAUCAGAACGCUGCGGUGAAUACGUUCCCGGGCCUUGUACACACC